rnacentral:rRNA from 1 species
UAAGUGUCCCACCUGGGGAGUACGCCGGCAACGGUGAAACUCAAAGGAAUUGACGGGGGCCCGCACAAGCGGAGGAACAUGUGGUUUAAUUCGAAGCAACGCGAAGAACCUUACCAAAUCUUGACAUCCCUCUGACCGGUCUUUAAUCGGACCUUCUCUUCGGAGCAGAGGUGACAGGUGGUGCAUGGUUGUCGUCAGCUCGUGUCGUGAGAUGUUGGGUUAAGUCCCGCAACGAGCGCAACCCCUAUCCUCAGUAGCCAGCAUUUAAGGUGGGCACUCUGGGGAGACUGCCAGGGAUAACCUGGAGGAAGGCGGGGAUGACGUCAAAUCAUCAUGCCCCUUAUGAUUUGGGCUACACACGUGCUACAAUGGCGUAAACAAAGGGAAGCGAGAUUGUGAGAUGGAGCAAAUCCCAAAAAUAACGUCCCAGUUCGGACUGUAGUCUGCAACCCGACUACACGAAGCUGGAAUCGCUAGUAAUCGCGGAUCAGAAUGCCGCGGUGAAUACGUUCCCGGGUCUUGUACACACCGCCCGUCACACCAUGGGAGUCAGUAACGCCCGAAGUCAGUGACCUAACUGCAAAGAAGGAGCUGCCGAAGGCGGGACCGAUGACUGGGGUGAAGUCGUAACAAGGUAACCGUAAAGGGCGAAUUC